UUAAGUGGGAAACGAUGUGGGAAGGCCCAGACAGCCAGGAUGUUGGCUUAGAAGCAGCCAUCAUUUAAAGAAAGCGUAAUAGCUCACUGGUCGAGUCGGCCUGCGCGGAAGAUGUAACGGGGCUAAACCAUGCACCGAAGCUGCGGCAGCGACGCUGAUGCGUUGUUGGGUAGGGGAGCGUUCUGUAAGCCUGUGAAGGUGGCCUGUGAGGGUUGCUGGAGGUAUCAGAAGUGCGAAUGCUGACAUAAGUAACGAUAAAGCGGGUGAAAAGCCCGCUCGCCGGAAGACCAAGGGUUCCUGUCCAACGUUAAUCGGGGCAGGGUGAGUCGACCCCUAAGGCGAGGCCGAAAGGCGUAGUCGAUGGGAAACGGGUUAAUAUUCCCGUACUUGGUGUUACUGCGAAGGGGGGACGGAGAAGGCUAUGUUGGCCGGGCGACGGUUGUCCCGGUUUAAGCGUGUAGGUGUGUGUUCCAGGUAAAUCCGGUUCACUUUAACACUGAGGCGUGAUGACGAGGCACUACGGUGCUGAAGCAACAAAUGCCCUGCUUCCAGGAAAAGCCUCUAAGCAUCAGGUAACAUCAAAUCGUACCCCAAACCGACACAGGUGGUCAGGUAGAGAAUACCAAGGCGCUUGAGAGAACUCGGGUGAAGGAACUAGGCAAAAUGGUGCCGUAACUUCGGGAGAAGGCACGCUGACAC
rnacentral:rRNA from 1 species